GACAAAUGCUGGUAUUUUAAAAUACUUGAGGAAAGUCCAUGCUUACAUAGUCCUGGAAUGGCUAUAGUGUUCGUGCUAGAGGAAUAAAUAACUCUAGGUAGCUUUUGCUAACGGCUUUGAAAUAACCUGUUAAAUGGUUAGAUUAGAUAUAAAAGUGCCAAAGAGACGAGAUACUAGGGAAACUUAGUAGGUGGAACGAGGUAAACCCCGCGAGUAAGAAAUCCAAAAUUGGUGGGAGAGUCUUUACAAAGGAAUCAAAACGGCGUAAAGGAGUUACUUAGGUAACUAGAUAAAUAUUUGUCCCUACGGUGGUAGGACAGAACAUGGCUUACU
rnacentral:RNase_P_RNA from 1 species